CCAGCAGCCGCGGUAAUUCCAGCUCCAGAAGCGUAUACUAACGUUGUUGCAGUUAAAAAGCUCGUAGUUGAAUUUUAUGAUUUGAGGAUAUAGAAACGAAAUUGUUUUUAUGUUGUUCAAAGAAUUUCUAAGACUUAAAUAAAAGUUUUUCUUUCACUGUAAAAAAAUUAGAGUGUUUCAAGCAAAAUGUAGAUUUGGAAUAUAAUAGUAUGGAAUGAUAAGAUAGGACUCUUUUACUAUUUUGUUGGUUUGUAUAAGAGAGUAAUGAUUAAUAGGGACAAUUGGGGGUAUUCGUAUUCAGAUGUCAGAGGUGAAAUUCUUGGAUUUUCGGAAGACGAACAACU
rnacentral:rRNA from 1 species